GAGGAUUGGGAUAUUCCGACUCCUUAAGGGCCUGGCGCACAUAAGGUGUGACCUUUUCAUUCCCGUUGUUAUGGAGGGCCACAUCUGCCAGAGCCUGGAGUCUGCGAAGGCCGGGACCCGGUUCCCCGGCCCACAGUGGGGGUGUGCAAACCCGAGAGAACUGGGAAGUGCCGUCAGAAGCGAUAACUGACGACGUCUAAUGUCUAUCUGACCGCAGUCGCUGAAACCUCUACAACUUAGUUGACCGUAACUGCCAGAGCCCUGCCCUGAAUUCCUGUCCUUACUCCCUCUUUAAGAUUGCGUACCCACUGCAGAGUGCUGAAGACGGGGUAGCCACGAGGUUGCAAAUUCGUGAAGAAUCAGCAUCAUGUUUGGCAGCUGAGUAUUGGAGCCAGGAGCCUGCCAUGAGGUUUUGAGAACAGAGUGCUGUUUUAGAGCUGGCAGCAGCAUCUCAGCCCAAGAGAAGCCGAUGCAGCCUCAGUGUUCCUUUGCCUUGGGGGUUUCUGAGUGGUGGGGUUGUAAGCAGAUCCUGCCAGGCACCCAGAAGGAAACCUCAUCAGGACUCCCUCAGAAAGGCCCUGAAGAAUCCUGUGACCUUCAUCUAAAGUAGGUCAUGAGACCCCUGAGCUUAAAACGGAGUGAUCGGCUUUGGAGAAGCAUGACUCCACAGUUUCUGCAACAACAGAGCCGGGGAAAGGAGGACGCAGCAAGCGCUGAAUAUUAACCAGCAAAGGUGAUCUGCCUGCCUCAGCUUCCCAAAGUGCUGGGAUUACAGGAGUGAGCCGCUGUGCCUGGCCUCCCAUUUUCUAAAAGAGUCUAAUUCCAGUCCAAAGUCCCUCCCUGCUCCGUGUGCCCAUUACCUUCAGAGAGCCCUCUUCUGGUCCUGGCUCAUGGACUGGCCUCUCCCUAAGACAUGCGACACCAAAGCCAUUUCUAUUCGCCUCGCCCUGCUGGACCUUUUCUGGAGAGAUGGGAAUUCUUGGAACAGGU
rnacentral:lncRNA from 1 species